rnacentral:rRNA from 1 species
UACGUAGGGUGCAAGCGUUGUCCGGAAUUAUUGGGCGUAAAGAGCUCGUAGGCGGUUCGUCGCGUCGGCUGUGAAAACCCGGAGCUCAACUCCGGGCCUGCAGUGGGUACGGGCAGACUAGAGUGCGGUAGGGGAGACUGGAAUUCCUGGUGUAGCGGUGAAAUGCGCAGAUAUCAGGAGGAACACCGGUGGCGAAGGCGGGUCUCUGGGCCGUAACUGACGCUGAGGAGCGAAAGCGUGGGGAGCGAACAGGA